GAGAUCCUAUCGUGUUUGAACUAUUCAAGAGACCAUUUAAAUGGUAAAACCGGAAAAUUUGCAGAUUCAGCGAGCGAAUUAGCUUAUGAUGAGUUCAUAAAGAGAAAGGCAGAAUUAAGUUUUGAGAGAGGCUCUCUAAGUGUGCAAUCUAAUCAGGAAAAAUUUAAUAUAUAGUUAGAGGUUAUAGGUGGUAAGAGCAAGAAGAGCUGCAUCUAUGGAUUUGGAUCUUAGGCAGAUGAUGAUAUUUGUGCUCCUCAAGGAUCUUCUCCUUCCAUUAAUAGCACCGGCAUAAAUCCUAAUGUUGAAACUGAAUUGCGCACGAGGAUAACAGAGCUUACACAGGAGAAUUAACAAGUUAAACAAGAGCAUGAAGAGAUGAAACAAAAUUACAGCAAAAUCAUGUCUGCAUUGGAGGAAAUGGGAAUUAGAUUAUUUGAGCCAUCUAGCAGCAAUAUAAAGUUAGAAAAUGACAGUUAAGGGUCAUUAUUAUUAGACAGUUUGGGUUAUUAUGUAUGUUUUUUAGUUGACAUUUGACAUUUUAUGUAUCCAGGAUCUAUGAAAGACUAUAUAUUUUUUAAUUACAAUACUUUUGAUUUUCAACAAA